ACUCCUACGGGAGGCAGCAGUGGGGAAUAUUGCACAAUGGGCGCAAGCCUGAUGCAGCCAUGCCGCGUGUGUGAAGAAGGCCUUCGGGUUGUAAAGCACUUUCAGUCGUGAGGAAGGUAGUGUAGUUAAUAGCUGCAUUAUUUGACGUUAGCGACAGAAGAAGCACCGGCUAACUCCGUGCCAGCAGCCGCGGUAAUACGGAGGGUGCGAGCGUUAAUCGGAAUUACUGGGCGUAAAGCGCAUGCAGGUGGUUUGUUAAGUCAGAUGUGAAAGCCCGGGGCUCAACCUCGGAAUAGCAUUUGAAACUGGCAGACUAGAGUACUGUAGAGGGGGUAGAAUUUCAGGUGUAGCGGUGAAAUGCGUAGAGAUCUGAAGGAUACCGGUGGCGAAGGCGGCCCCUGGACAGAUACUGACACUCAGAUGCGAAAGCGUGGGAGC
rnacentral:rRNA from 1 species